CAGCAGCCGCGGUAAUACGUAGGCGGCAAGCGUUGUCCGGAAUUAUUGGGCGUAAAGGGCUCGCAGGCGGUUUCUUAAGUCUGAUGUGAAAGCCCCCGGCUCAACCGGGGAGGGUCAUUGGAAACUGGGAAACUUGAGUGCAGAAGAGGAGAGUGGAAUUCCACGUGUAGCGGUGAAAUGCGUAGAGAUGUGGAGGAAAACCAGUGGCGAAGGCGACUCUCUGGUCUGUAACUGACGCUGAGGAGCGAAAGCGUGGGGAGCGAACAGGAUUAGAUACCCGCGUAGUCCCUGUCUCUUAUAC
rnacentral:rRNA from 1 species